CGUAGGGGGCAAGCGUUGUCCGGAUUUAUUGGGCGUAAAGAGCGUGUAGGCGGCCGCACAGGUCCGUUGUGAAAACUGGAGGCUUAACCUUCAGACGUCGAUGGAAACCGUGCGGCUAGAGUCCGGAAGAGGAGAAUGGAAUUCCUGGUGUAGCGGUGAAAUGCGCAGAUAUCAGGAAGAACACCCGUGGCUAAGGCGGUUCUCUAGUACGGUACUGACGCUGAGACGCGAAAGCGUGGGGAGCGAACAGGAUUAGAUACCCUGGUAGUCCACGCCGUAAACGAUGGGUGCUAGGUGUGGGGGGGUGUCGACUCCCCCCGUGCCGAAGCUAACGCAUUAAGCACCCCGCCUGGGGAGUACGGCCGCAAGGCUA
rnacentral:rRNA from 1 species